CCAAUAGCGUAUAUUAAAGUUGUUGCAGUUAAAAAGCUCGUAGUUGAAUUUCGGGAUUAGUACGUUGGUCGUGCCUUAGGUACGUACUGGUGUUACUGGUUCCUACCUUCUGACGAACCAUCAUGUCAUUAAUUUGGUGUGGCGGGGAAUCAGGACUGUUACUUUGAAAAAAUUUGAGUGUUUAAAGCAGGCUCGCGCUUGAAUACAUUAGCAUGGAAUAAUGAAAUAGGACGUUGACCCUAUUUUGUUGGUUUCUAGGAUUGACGUAAUGAUUAAUAGGGAUAGUUGGGGGCAUUAGUAUUCAAUUGUCAGAGGUGAAAUUCUUGGAUUUAUUGAAGACUAACUACUGCGAAAGCAUUUGCCAAGGAUGUUUUCAUUAAUCAAGAACGAAAGUUAGGGGAUCGAAGACGAUCAGAUACCGUCGUAGUCUUAACCAUAAACUAUGCCGACUAGGGAUCGGAUGAUGUUAAUUUUUUAAUGACUCAUUCGGCGCCUUACG
rnacentral:rRNA from 1 species